UGGCUCAGUGGUAGAGCGCUUGCCUUGCAUGCCUGAGGCCCUGGGUUCGAUUCCUAG
rfam:Dipodomys ordii contig_67635, whole genome shotgun sequence.